UGGCAGUUUGGGUGUUAGUAUGUCAGAAGAGGGAAUGGGAGAGUCCUAAGGAGGCACUCAGGCCUCGGGAUUUGUUCAGCCGCCCCACUACCCACACUUCUCACAAAAUCCCGGGUAUUCGAUGGGAGGUACAUCGGAUUACCCUAGCUUCACCCCUUAUCCCACACAGAUGCCAUACCCACCCUACUACCCACCAUAUUCACAAUACCCAAUGUAUC
rnacentral:lncRNA from 1 species